GUCUUUGUUUAUACUUUAAAGUCUAACCUGCCCACUGAGAAAUUAAAUGGCCGCGGUAUACUGACCGUGCAAAGGUAGCAUAAUAAUUUGUUUUUUAAUUGAAAACUUGAAUGAAAGGUUGGACAAAAAACAAACUGUUUUUAAUUUUAAGUUUUAAUUUUACUUUUAGGUGAAAAGGCCUAAGUAUCUCUUAAAGACGAUAAGACCCUAUAAAGCUUUAUAAUAUAUAAUUUUAAAAGAUUUAUAUUAGUUUAAUAAUAAUUAAUUUUAUGUGUUAUUUUAUUGGGGUGAUAAAAAUAUUAAAACAAAAAACUGUUUUUUUUUUGAAACAAAAAUAUUUGAUGAUAAUUUAUUGAUCCUUAAAUUUAAGAUCUUAAGUUUAAGUUACUUUAGGGAUAACAGCGUAAUUUUUCUUGAGAGUUCUUAUCGAAAGAAAAGUUUGCGACCUCGAUGUUGAAUUAGAAUUUCUUUAUUGGUGCAGAAGCCAUAAAAGUAAGUCUGUUCGACUUUUAAAAUUCU
rnacentral:rRNA from 1 species